rnacentral:lncRNA from 1 species
AUUAGGCUUGGUCUGUGGCAGAAUGGUGCCCAAGCAGGGACCCCUGGACAGGACAGAUGGCAUAUUUGGACACAUUUACAGGAUGACAUGUCAUGCAAUAUUAAAAUGAAAAGUGACUCUGUGUGCUGGCCUAAGAAGAUCUUGAAGAUAGAGAUGACAGACCACCUGGACAAUGCUUCCUGAUCGUUUUUGUUAAAGGACUGUCACCCUGAAUCGGGAGGCUCCUGGCACUUUGCCCUUCUGCUUGUUGACAUCCCCUGAAGGAGGAGUUCUCAGGACACAUCAGGUGAAUUCUAGCCAUAACAUCAGGCUCCAAAGAGUUUUCUAGCUAAUAAUGUCCACUAUUGAAGACGUUUCGUUCUUGUCUAUUUGCUGGAUGCCUGGGUUAGCAGAAGCUUGUCUAAGGAGUCACUGCCUGUGUUGAAGUGGGCUCUGCAGUGAAAUAGCUGUUGGGAAGUUACCCAAGCUCCUGUAAGUAACCUCACACUGGACUCCUUAGCAACCCCGAAGGAAGCUCAGUAGAUCCUCAAGUUGAAUGUCUGCACAGUUG